CACAGUGGACUUUCCCAGGCCUCGUGGGAUCUCCGAGGCGCGGGGUGAGGGUUGGGUGUCCUGAUCAUUUCCCAGCAGCCGAAGAAACCCACAGAGGUGUGAGUAGCAGCCGCGUAGGUGGGGACAGCAAAGAGUCAGCCCCUCGCAGGGUCCUGCAGAGGGCGCGAGGAUUCCUGAUGGUGUCCAGAUGGCUGAUUCUCUUUGACUGAUCUUUGCCCUGAAGAUUGCCCCUCUCUUCCCUAUUCCUAAGGAAUGUAAGGCCAGUAUAUAACAUGAGCUUCUGGAAGGCAGCCCCAAGAGAGGGGUAUAAAAUCUCAUAGUAGAAAGCAGAGUGGACCAACAAGAAGGUGGGACCAGUAUGGAAGCAGGAACUCCACCAGGGAAGGAAAAAUACAGAAAUCAUCCACCAUUACUAUCAUAUCACUAUUGAGAGAAUAAGUACCAGUUACCUUGUGCUAAUUUUGCUCUCACUCCCAGAAUCUUAUAUAGAGUUAUUGGUAUUAAAUAUGUUUCUUCAAGACUGUA